UACAGAGGUCCCAAGCGCUGUUCGGAUUCAUUGGGCGUAAAGGGUGCGUAGGCGGCGCGGUAAGUCGGGUGUGAAAUCUUGGAGCUUAACUCCGAAACUGCAUUCGAUACUGCCGUGCUUGAGGACUGGAGAGGAGACUGGAAUUUACGGUGUAGCGGUGAAAUGCGUAGAUAUCGUAAGGAAGACCAGUGGCGAAGGCGGGUCUCUGGACAGUUCCUGACGCUGAGGCACGAAGGCCAGGGGAGCAAACGGG
rnacentral:rRNA from 1 species